rnacentral:misc_RNA from 1 species
AAGAGUAAGGGUCUCUGGCCCGAACCUCCAACCCUCUGUUGUUAAAACUACCUUGUUGCUUUGGCGGGACCGCUUGGUCCUCCGAGCGCGUCGGUCUUCGGAUUGACGAGCGCCCGCCAGAGUCCAACCAAACUCUUGUAUUAAACCAGUCGUCUGAGUAUAAAAUUUUAAUUUAAUUA